ensembl:lncRNA
CGGUGCCUCCGGCGUCCUAGAGCGGCCGCGGGCAGCCGGCGCUGGGCCGGGGUCCUGGGGCUAGUCUCGCGGGUCCUGAGCUCCGCCGCCUGCUUCCGGUCCUGGAAGAUGCCGGCGGUCUUUCGCUCGGGGACGCUGGCCCCGAGUCCUCUCGUCAGGUGGCGACGCCCAGGCGGGGCGGCUCCCUCUGAGGAGUCGGGUUCCGCCUGUUAGGCCCCCGCGGCCUCCGCCUCGAGCCUCCUCCAGCCGCGGAGACGAGCUUGUCUGCGGCGGGCCGGCGGGCGGAGGGCGCGCCUGUGGGCGCCGCGUGGGUAACGAGGCCCCGCGCCCAGGAGGGCCGGCUCCCGGGCCGGGCGCGCUCCGUCUCGUGUCGCCUGACUUCGGGCGGCCUGGUGAGCCUUCCCGAGUUUUCUGAACGUAAACGUGAAGUCGCUCAGUCGUGUCCGACUCUUUGCGACCCCAUGGACUGUAGCCUAUCAGGCUCCUCUGUCCAUGGGAUUUUCCAGGCAAGAGUACUGGAGUGGGUUGCCAUUGCCUUCCCCAAGGGAUCUUCCCAACCCAGGGAUCGAACUCGGGUCUCCCGCAUCGUAGACAAACGCUUUACUGUCUGAGCCGCCAGGGAAGUUUUCUAGACCCCUCAAUACCGGCUUCCAUACGUAGCGGGCUUUGUGAGAAAGAACUGAAAAAAUAGUAAAUGCUUGGAGAUUGCGUGCUGUGCGGCAAUCAACACUGCAAGGCGCCUGCAAUGCUGCGAGAUGGUGAUUGCAGCCAUGAAAUUAAAAGAUGAUUACUCCUUGGAAGGAAAGUUAUGACCAACCUAGAUAGCAUAUUGAAAAGCAGAGACGUUACUUUGCCAACAAAGAUCCAUCUAAUCAAGGC